GACGAACGCUGGCGGCGUGCCUAAUACAUGCAAGUCGAACGAGAGCGACCGGUGCUUGCACUGGUCAAUCUAGUGGCGAACGGGUGAGUAACACGUGGGUAACCUGCCCAUCAGAGGGGGAUAACAUCCGGAAACGGAUGCUAAAACCGCAUAGGUCUUCGAACCGCAUGGUUUGAAGAGGAAAAGAGGCGCAAGCUUCUGCUGAUGGAUGGACCCGCGGUGCAUUAGCUAGUUGGUGAGGUAACGGCUCACCAAGGCCGUGAUGCAUAUCCGACCUGAGAGGGUGAUCGGCCACAUUGGGACUGAGACACGGCCCAAACUCCUACGGGAGGCAGCAGUAGGGAAUCUUCCGCAAUGGACGCAAGUCUGACGGAGCAACGUCGCGUGAGUGAAGAAGGUUUUCGGAUCGUAAAACUCUGUUGUUAGAGAAGAACAAGUGCUAGAGUAACUGUUAGCGCCUUGACGGUAUCUAACCAGAAAGCCACGGCUAACUACGUG
rnacentral:rRNA from 1 species